rnacentral:rRNA from 1 species
UACGUAGGUGGCAAGCGUUGUCCGGAUUUAUUGGGUUUAAAGGGUGCGUAGGCGGCUUAUUAAGUCAGUGGUGAAAUACUCUAGCUCAACUGGAGGGGUGCCAUUGAUACUGAUGAGCUUGAGUACAGAUGAGGUAGGCGGAAUUGACGGUGUAGCGGUGAAAUGCUUAGAUAUCGUCAAGAACACCUAUAGCGAAGGCAGCUUACUAGGCUGUAACUGACGCUGAGGCACGAAAGUGUGGGGAUCAAACAGG